rnacentral:hammerhead_ribozyme from 1 species
AUCCAGCUGACGAGUCCCAAAUAGCACGAAAUGCGCCUUGUCCUGGAU